CCUACGGGAGGCAGCAGUGAGGAAUAUUGGUCAAUGGGCGAAAGCCUGAACCAGCCAAGUCGCGUGCAGGAAGACGGCCCUAUGAGUUGUAAACUGCUUUUGUACGGGGGUAAACACAGAUACGUGUAGCUGCUUGAAAGUAACGUACGAAAAAGGAUCGGCUAACUCCGUGCCAGCAGCCGCGGUAAUACGGAGGAUCCAAGCGUUAUCCGGAUUUAUUGGGUUUAAAGGGUGCGUAGGCGGAAGGGGAAGUCAGCGGUGAAAUUUCCGGGCUCAACCCCCGACGUGCCGUUGAAACUGCAUAGCUUGAGUGCGGGUGAGGUAGGCGGAAUGUGUGGUGUAGCGGUGAAAUGCUUAGAGAUCACGCAGAACUCCGAUUGCGAAGGCAGCAUACCGAAGUGCAACUGACGCUGAGGCACGAAAGCGUGGGUAUCGAACAGGAUUAGAUACCCGUGUAGUC
rnacentral:rRNA from 1 species